AUACGGAGGAUCCGAGCGUUAUCCGGAUUUAUUGGGUUUAAAGGGUGCGCAGGCGGGAGAUUAAGUCGGCGGUGAAAUUUUGGAGCUCAACUGUAAAAGGGCCUUCGAAACUGGGUUCCUUGAGGGUAGAUGAAGGAGGCGGAAUUUGUGGUGUAGCGGUGAAAUGCAUAGAUAUCACGAGGAACACCGAUUGCGCAGGCAGCUUACUAAACUACUACUGACGCUCAGGCACUAAGGCGUGGGGAACAAACAGGAUUAGAUACCCUGGUAGUCCACGCAGUAAACGAUGAUUACUAGCUGUUUGCGAUACAAUGUAAGCGGCUGAGCGAAAGCGUUAAGUAAUCCACCUGGGGAGUACGUUCGCAAGAAUGAAACUCAAAUGAAUUGACGGGG
rnacentral:rRNA from 1 species